rnacentral:rRNA from 1 species
UACGUAGGUGGCAAGCGUUGUCCGGAAUUAUUGGGCGUAAAGCGCGCGCAGGCGGCCUUUUAAGUCUGAUGUGAAAUCUUGCGGCUCAACCGCAAGCGGCCAUUGGAAACUGGGAGGCUUGAGUACAGAAGAGGAGAGUGGAAUUCCACGUGUAGCGGUGAAAUGCGUAGAUAUCUGGAGGAACACCGGUGGCGAAGGCGGCAUCCUGGACCGACACUGACGCUGAUGAGCGAAAGCCAGGGGAGCAAACGGG